AGAGUUUGAUCAUGGCUCAGGAUGAACGCUAGCGGGAGGCCUAACACAUGCAAGCCGAGCGGUAGAGAUUCUUCGGAAUCUUGAGAGCGGCGUACGGUGCGGAACACGUGUGCAACCUACCUUUAUCUGGAGGAUAGCCUUUCGAAAGGAAGAUUAAUACUCCAUAAUAUAUUGAUUGGCAUCAAUUGAUAUUGAAAGCUCCGGCGGAUAGAGAUGGGCACGCGCAAGAUUAGUUAGUUGGUGAGGUAACGGCUCACCAAGACGAUGAUCUUUAGGGGGCCUGAGAGGGUGAUCCCCCACACUGGUACUGAGACACGGACCAGACUCCUACGGGAGGCAGCAGUGAGGAAUAUUGGUCAAUGGGUGCAAGCCUGAACCAGCCAUCCCGCGUGAAGGACGACUGCCCUAUGGGUUGUAAACUUCUUUUGUAUAGGGAUAAACCUACCCUCGUGAGGGUAGCUGAAGGUACUAUACGAAUAAGCACCGGCUAACUCCGUG
rnacentral:rRNA from 1 species